GACGAACGCUGGCGGCGUGCCUAAUACAUGCAAGUAGAACGCUGAAGGAGGAGCUUGCUCUUCUGGAUGAGUUGCGAACGGGUGAGUAACGCGUAGGUAACCUGCCUGGUAGCGGGGGAUAACUAUUGGAAACGAUAGCUAAUACCGCAUAAGAGUAGAUGUCGCAUGACAUUUGCUUAAAAGGUGCAAUUGCAUCACUACCAGAUGGACCUGCGUUGUAUUAGCUAGUUGGUGAGGUAACGGCUCACCAAGGCAACGAUACAUAGCCGACCUGAGAGGGUGAUCGGCCACACUGGGACUGAGACACGGCCCAGACUCCUACGGGAGGCAGCAGUAGGGAAUCUUCGGCAAUGGACGGAAGUCUGACCGAGCAACGCCGCGUGAGUGAAGAAGGUUUUCGGAUCGUAAAGCUCUGUUGUAAGAGAAGAACGAGUGUGAGAGUGGAAAGUUCACACUGUGACGGUAUCUUACCAGAAAGGGACGGCUAACUACGUGCCAGCAGCCGCGGUAAUACGUAGGUCCCGAGCGUUGUCCGGAUUUAUUGGGCGUAAAGCGAGCGCAGGCGGUUAGAUAAGUCUGAAGUUAAAGGCUGUGGCUUAACCAUAGUACGCUUUGGAAACUGUUUAACUUGAGUGCAAGAGGGGAGAGUGGAAUUCCAUGUGUAGCGGUGAAAUGCGUAGAUAUAUGGAGGAACACCGGUGGCGAAAGCGGCUCUCUGGCUUGUAACUG
rnacentral:rRNA from 1 species